AUUGAACGCUGGCGGCAGGCCUAACACAUGCAAGUCGAACGGUAACAGGAAACAGCUUGCUGUUUCGCUGACGAGUGGCGGACGGGUGAGGAAUGUCUGGGAAACUGCCUGAUGGAGGGGGAUAACUACUGGAAACGGUAGCUAAUACCGCAUAACGUCGCAAGACCAAAGAGGGGGACCUUCGGGCCUCUUGCCAUCGGAUGUGCCCAGAUGGGAUUAGCUAGUAGGUGGGGUAACGGCUCACCUAGGCGACGAUCCCUAGCUGGUCUGAGAGGAUGACCAGCCACACUGGAACUGAGACACGGUCCAGACUCCUACGGGAGGCAGCAGUGGGGAAUAUUGCACAAUGGGCGCAAGCCUGAUGCAGCCAUGCCGCGUGUAUGAAGAAGGCCUUCGGGUUGUAAAGUACUUUCAGCGGGGAUGAAGGGAGUAAAGUUAAUACCUUUUCUCAUUGACGUUACCCGCAGAAGAAGCACCGGCUAACUCCGUG
rnacentral:rRNA from 1 species